AAUAUAAGAAAGUUAGAUGUUCUGGAAAAGACCUAACUGCCCUUUUGCUUCCAUGUUGCUCCACGUGGAUAACUUACUAGCCUUUGCUAUGCUCCCAAAAUACUUCAUGCUAUCACGUUUUCUGAACAAAGCCAAAUACAAGCAUUUCCAAAUAUUUUAAUUUCUUUUCUAUUUCUCUCUCUAGCACAUCCUUCUCCCUUCUUUCUUCCUUCUUCAUUCUUCCUAUUCCGUCUUCCUCUUCUGUCUUCUAAUCUUCUUCGUUCUUCCUUUUUUUUCUCCUGUCUUCUACGACAUGACUUUAUGAUUUCAAAAACAAAUCUACAUUUGUUAUUAACAAUAUUGCUAACGAAACUCUAGCCGAAGACAAAAGAACGGCUCGAAGUCUUCCUACAGAUGUCAGUUUGCUUUCGUCGCAUUUGUGACCGGCAUCCACCGUUUGGGGUCUAAAUAAUCCACAUCUGCUGAUUCAAUGGUUAUUACGAAGAGGUUGUCCAAGGAAGAAAUUGGUUGUUUAAAAGAGUGUAGAUUUCAAAUUUGGAGUGGCAUGCCCUUUUGAUUGAUAACUCAAAUAACAGGUAAUAGUUAGUUUGGAGUAACUUUCAAAGGAGAAAAGGAGUCGGUGAACGGGCAUAUGGCAACUUAUUUCUUUGUUUCACAAGUUUUAACAAAUGCAGUAAUUUUGGUAUGUUAGUAUUACUCUUCUGUUCACUGAUGUUAUUAUUUUUCCACUAUCUUUUUGUUAUACGUCGAUUUUGCUGUUGUUCUUUGGUUUCACGGUAGUUAAAAUGAGCAUCAAGCACGCGUACGCAUCGAGGAAACAAGGGGAGGUUGUUUAUAAAGUGUGAAUGAAUGCAGUUAGACAAUGGUGAUAUCAUAUGCUUUCAUAAAGCUUCUGCAAUGGGUAACGGGUAACGGGAGAAAUUAAAUAUACUGAUAAAGCUUCAUUGGUUACAAGAUUGGUCAAAACUUUCUCGAUGUUUGCAUAGAUUAAAAUGUUUGAGUAUUGAGGGAAGAGGUUGCAAAUGGAGCCAUUGAAAUUCAGCGGUGCUUAUCCGUCGAGUGAGGAGUUAGAAUCUCUGGAAUUUAGAGGAACUAAAGCUCUUCCAAAUAUUAGCAUUGUGUGAAAAGAAAAAGUGUCCAGGAGAGGUUAUCUUGAUGAAAGCAAAGAAGCUGAGAGAGAACAAGUUAUUGAAUCUGAAAUUGAUUUGACGACUGGAAUUUACUCUACUGAAGUCAUCAAUACGGUAUCUACAUAGUUCAUUCAAUCAAAGGUUGACUGGAAUUUACUUUUGCAGGUUAUAAAUAAUUUUUUUAUUGUUUACUUUUCAUCUAAUGGCAUAGUUGCUUGGCUCAGUUUAAUGUCGCUUGGCAUCAAGGUUUCGGUUUCGGUGUUGCAACUGUGGUAUUUGAGACACUACUUUCAUUCAUGACUACUAAAAGUAUUGAUAACGUGUUUCAAUAUGAGGCGGUACUAAGCUUGAAUCAUUCCUUUUGCUGUUUGUUUUUACUUCAUCUACUUCUUCUCUGGUCCCUGCGUAUUUCCGUUGUGCAGGUUGUCGUAACUGUCGGUAUUACUUUACAGGUUCUGCGUAUUAGUUCUCAAAGUUUCUGAAUUUCUAACAUGUACAAAUAAUAAUGAGUUUUUGGUCUCAUUGUUGUUGCAGUAAGAUACUGGACAUGGUGGUUUCUGUGGAGUAUACUCUGAGGGAUGAUAGUGAGAGGGUUGAUUAAAGCUGUAGCAGUCCCAGAAGAGGAGGAGUCGUUCACCGGUACGAAGGUCAAGGACUUAGGUGAUGUCUGGUUUGAGAGUAAGUAGUAGGGCUUCAAUGGCACUAUACAGAAAUCUGGUGCUGAAGUCCUUUCCCUUGGAGAUGCUUCUGGAACAACUGUCUCUCAUGUGUCUGAUAUUAUUGGUCCAGUGGGUAUUAAUUAAAUAUUGUGUAUUUAACAAUUUGUGAUUAAGGAUUGAUUAGAAUAACAUUUUUUGUUUAUGUAGACUGGAGUUGUGUAUGCAGUAGAGUUCUCCCACCAAAGUGGGCUCAAUUAAAUCAUGAAACUUAUUUGUUGUACAAUCAGACAUGGGCGUGAGGAUAUAUUAUUCGGUUUCAGGAUCGAAUUCGUAUAAUUAUUCCACAGUUUUCUGGUUGUUCGAAUGGUGUUUCAGACCCGCUGAUGGACAAUAUUACGUGCUCCGUUUUAGAUUUUGCACCUGUGCCAAUUCCUGAAACAUUUAGUUAUUUCCAGUGGUUGAAAUUUCGAAAACUCUUGAUAGUGAUAUCCUGGAAGAAUACUUGGGCUGAAUGAAAUUUUCUGCAUUUUAUAGGUACUGUGAGUUUGUUUCCAAUAAGUCAGCUUUUGCCAAGUAUAUAUGGAUACAAAUCUGGUUCAGGAGCUUGCAGUAUUUGGGUGGACCCAUCAAAAAUCCUGAAAGUUUAUCAAAAGCAUGACGAAGUCUUAGUUAUAGUCCGAAAACAACUCUCGGUAGCAUGAUUUCUCACUUGGUUCUUUGACUAUUGGAUUAGCGUGACAUCGACGGUUGUUAUUUAAGUGACUUCAUAGAUGAUUGGGUGAAAAUUGGUUUUCCUGCCAAAGUCAAAGUGCUGAAAGAAUAUCCAAACCAUGAUUUCAAAGAACAAUGCAGACUCUGUGAAGUAGUUAGUUAAUUAUGUUGGAGAAUAUCCAAACCAUGGAUUCAAAGAACAAUGCAAACUUUGUGAAAUGUUGUUGAUAUGUGGAUGUCGGGAUAUCUGAUGUGUUGGAUUCAAUUCGUUGAGAUCAGAAUCAAUGUCCGGUUGAAGCUUGCAUGUCAGGGUGAUUUAUCGGUGUCCUUGAAUUGAAUAUUAUUGGAACUUUGGUGAUUUUUCUUUUCCUUGCUGGUUUAGUUGGUUUUUCUAAUUAGUAACAGCUAUGCAGUAACAGUUGUUUAAUUAGUUGGUUUUCUUAUUAGUAUAUUUUGGGAUGGCCUGGUUUUUUACAAUUUGAUUGAAAAAUUGUGUCAUCAAGAUAUGAAAAAUCCCUCAUACCCCAUAUGUUUAACUCGUGGCCAUUUUUUAUGUCUUAAUAGAGUUGCCAGGAGUUCUUUGGGUAUUGCCAAAUUCAUAUCUUGAUGUUCCUAAGUCCUAACAAGGACUAUGGAUGUGAGUGAAGUUGUUUAAAUUAAGAGUUUGGUUAACUAUUGGAUCAUUGUUUGUUAACUUGGUUAAUCUUUCCAAUUUCAGGUGAUUUGUUUAUUGAUGGUAAAAUAAUCCUUAAGCACAACUGAAACUAAGUUCAGGGAGGACAUAUGCCACCAUAAAAUUCUAAUGAAUAGUUGAAAUUUCUCUUAGGUGGUGGAGAAAGCCAUGAAAUGUAUAUUCGUUUAAACAAAUAUUUGGUGGGAAGAUCUUUGUUUUACAUCUAUCAUUGAAGUUACUUAUUCCAUUCUUUUGUUUAGAGCUGCACCUGUAUGGAUCUUUUGCUUGAUUGCAUGCAUUAAUAUUAUUCAUAUAAUCACAUCUCAUUUUGUGUAAUCCUGCAUUGCUUUUGUUGAAUCAGUCAUGUCAAUUCUCAUAUCAAUUUCAAACUUUAGGGCAAUAUGAGUUUUCUUUCAUUGGGACAAUUUUCAACUAACAUGGAUGUUAUUUACAGAUUUUAAAGGUGAUUACAAGAUAUUUUGGUAAAAAAGUCAGAAGAUUUUUAUAGACUUCGUAGGAACAUAUCGGUACCGGUCGGUUCAACCGGUUGGACCGGGAACCGGAUUUUGAUAUUCGGUCUAUUUAACUUUGAAAACCACAAUAUUAAAAAACCGGAUAACAAACUGGAAAACCGGUCGAGAACGGCGUAACCGACCAAAACCGACGGUUUGAGCGAUUCUUAUGGUUUGACUGGGCUUUUGAGUUUUCUUCAAUCUUCAUCCAUGGUUACAUGAUAAAAAUGCAUUGAAUCCCACUUCUAUGAAAAUCAACCAAAAAAAAAGUUAGAGGAAGUGAGAUUUCAUUCAGAUGAAAUGAACUUAUGAAAUUGAAAGGGAGUUGAGAAAAUGAAAAAUGAGAUGAAAUAAGAGUAAGAAAUUGAGAUGAAAGAGUGGAGGCGCAUCCUCUCUCAUUUUAGGUAUUUAGGGUUUCAUAUUGAAAUUGGGUCGGGUCAAUAAUUUUGAACUUAACUAAAGUAAAUAACAAAUAAAAGAAUUAACCACGUGACAA